rnacentral:rRNA from 1 species
ACGAAGGGUGCAAGCGUUACUCGGAAUUACUGGGCGUAAAGCGUGCGUAGGUGGUUGUUUAAGUCUGUUGUGAAAGCCCUGGGCUCAACCUGGGAAUUGCAGUGGAUACUGGGCGACUAGAGUGUGGUAGAGGGUAGUGGAAUUCCCGGUGUAACAGUGAAAUGCGUAGAGAUCGGGAGGAACAUCCAUGGCGAAGGCAGCUACCUGGACCAACACUGACACUGAGGCACGAAAGCGUGGGGAGCAAACAGGA